rnacentral:rRNA from 1 species
CAGCAGCCGCGGUAAUACAGAGGGUGCGAGCGUUAAUCGGAUUUACUGGGCGUAAAGCGUGCGUAGGCGGUUUUAUAAGUCGGAUGUAAAAUCCCUGAGCUUAACUUAGGAAUUGCAUUCGAUACUGGGAAGCUAGAGUAUGGGAGAGGAUGGUAGAAUUCCAGGUGUAGCGGUGAAAUGCGUAGAGAUCUGGAGGAAUACCGAUGGCGAAGGCAGCCAUCUGGCCUAAUACUGACGCUGAGGUACGAAAGCAUGGGGAGCAAACAGGAUUAGAUACCCCAGUAGUCCCUGUCUCUUAUAC